UGGGGAAUCUUGCACAAUGGAGGAAACUCUGAUGCAGCGACGCCGCGUGAGCGAAGAAGCCUUCCGGGGUGUAAAGCUCUUACGCCAGGGACGAUAAUGACGGUACCUGGAGAAGCAGCUGCGGCUAACUACGUGCCAGCAGCCGCGGUAAUACGUAGGCAGCAAGCGUUGUUCGGAAUUACUGGGCGUAAAGGGUGCGUAGGCGGCGCUCUAAGUUUGGUGUGAAAUCUCCCGGCUUAACUGGGAGGGUGCACUGGAAACUGGGGCGCUCGAGUAUGGGAGAGGAAAGCGGAAUUCCUGGUGUAGCGGUGAAAUGCGUAGAGAUCAGGAGGAACACCUGCGGUGCAGACGGCUUUCUGGACCAUCACUGACGCUGAGGCACGAAAGCGUGGGUAGCAAACA
rnacentral:rRNA from 1 species